GAAAUCCUCAUGUUAACGGUUCCAAUCUCCAAUCCAGAUUGGUAGGAUAGAGGACUGG
rnacentral:tRNA from 1 species